rnacentral:rRNA from 1 species
AGUGAACGCUGGCGGUAGGCCUAACACAUGCAAGUCGAACGGCAGCACAGUAAGAGCUUGCUCUUACGGGUGGCGAGUGGCGGACGGGUGAGGAAUACAUCGGAAUCUACUUUUUCGUGGGGGAUAACGUAGGGAAACUUACGCUAAUACCGCAUACGACCUACGGGUGAAAGCAGGGGAUCUUCGGACCUUUCGCGAUUGAAUGAGCCGAUGUCGGAUUAGCUAGUUGGCGGGGUAAAGGCCCACCAAGGCGACGAUCCGUAGCUGGUCUGAGAGGAUGAUGAGCCACACUGGAACUGAGACACGGUCCAGACUCCUACGGGAGGCAGCAGUGGGGAAUAUUGGACAAUGGGCGCAAGCCUGAUCCAGCCAUACCGCGUGGGUGAAGAAGGCCUUCGGGUUGUAAAGCCCUUUUGUUGGGAAAGAAAAGCAGCAGGUUAAUACCCCGCUGUUCUGACGGUACCCAAAGAAUAAGCACCGGCUAACUUCGUG